GUUGCGUGGACAAGCAGCCUAAUACAGGCAGCGUAAGUGCUCAACACCGGAACCACAACCAGAACCCUCACUGAGUUUUCUGGGUGAUCCAAUCAAUGGCCAUUACUCAAGAACCAAGUUAUGAAAACAUGGAAACCUGUGGGAACAUAAACAUUUCCGGCAACUCGCUCACAAGGAUUGGCACCUAGCUCGCAGGUCACAGGCGUGCUGACUCACUGAGGUACAGCACAAAGUAUGUUACCUAUUCGCUGCUGGACCCAUCAAUAAAAUGUGACUUGCAGCUUGUGCAGGUCAGAACUGGCUGCUUUGCAGAGCAAUGGAAACGCUGACAGGGUGCAACAUAGAAUUGAAACAGGAAGGCGGCAGUGGGCCGUGGAGCAACCAAAAGCUAGGAAAUGCAACCUAGCGGUGUGCCCAGUCAAAGAGUCCGCAACUUUUGGUACAUAUAUGCCCAGGCAGGGAAAAACUUGGAUGUGUACGAUGAAAAGAACAUGCUUAGCCCACUGCUCACUGCGACUGCAUGCUUCGAUGCAUCGUAGGUUUAUGAGAAAAAUUUGUAACAGCCUUUGAAAGGGGACAUGGGACCCGAUAGUGAAAUGUAUUAGUAUUAGGCCUAGAGACAUGAUUUUUUUCAGGGAAUACUCAGCUUUGUGCACUGAUUGAAAACAUGUAAUUACAUUUUCUUUACAUCAAUCCGUAAAAACGUUACUAUUCUUAUUUUAUGAAUUCGGGAUGUGACUUGCAUGAAAAGUAAUGCAUCAAAAGAGCAAUAAUCGAACCUGUAUAUUGCUGUAUAUUCAAAUAGUGCAAAUAUGCAAUUUCAUGCUAGUAUCUAAGUUUUACACAAAGUUAUGAAGUUUUUAUGUCGCAGUCUCUUAGCUCUGAAUUUUCACUGGGGAUUUCUGGAAAAUUUCAAAAUUUUACAAUGUCCUUGAACAUUUUAUCAAGGUUUUCUUGCACACUUCAAUACCCUAGCAUUCGAACAAAAAAAAAAAAAGAUCAAGAAAAUCAAAUCAGUAUUAGCGACACAGUGCUCGUUUCAAAAUUCAAAAUGUGCAAAAAUCUGUAUUUGAGAAAAACGCAAUAAUUGAAAAAGUUGCGAAAAUGAAAAUUUCAUGCAUGAAAGCCAUAGCACUUGUAUUCACAAUCACUCAGAAAGCCCCUGCGGAGUAGUGUGAAGCAGGCUUUUGCUUGUGGCCUUUCGUCAACUCUUUUUUACGAAUGAUGUGGUGCUAAGCAGCUCUCGUUGAGUAGUUAUUCAUGAUUUCGUUUGUAAACAGUUAUGCUAAUUGCACCUAUCUAAUCGUUAUACCAUUAAUUGCAAUUAGUUCUUGUGUACAUGUAUGCCAACAUUGUCAUGUAUACUAGAGCAAUGUCUUUAUUGCAGCGUAGUGGUGUUUGUCCUUGUACAUAGAUGUGCCCAAGUGUAUGUGCCCUUAUUGCUGGAAUAUUAUGAAACUUUUAUUGUUUGUUCUUGUAUAGUGUAAAAUAAACUUUUUCUGAACAACA